rnacentral:lncRNA from 1 species
UUUGUGUGGUGUUUUUUUCAAGGGUUACUCUGAGCGCGCAAAUGGUUAAUUGAUGUGUUUCCAUCAAGUACUGCAGCCACACGGGGUUGGUGUUCACCGUGUCCACGUCGUACAUCAAAGUGUGGGACAUCCGGGACUCAGCGCGCUGCAUCCGCACCCUGACCAUGAAGCAUUUCACUUGGAAAGUCUCUGCUGCCACUCAUCGUACAACAGACUUAAAGCACAGCACUUGGCACCUAGCAGUGCUGUGAAGGGUUGGAAAGGCAGCGCACCAUUGAUUGCUGAGGGCCAAGAGACGGUUCAGACAACAGAAGCAUUUGUCCACAUUUCUGACAUGAAGGCUGUCGCCUCCCGAUCCGGCGACAAAUCAAGGCUGCUGUGUGAAAGUACCGUGCCUCCGCACACGGGAACAGACGGGACUCACACACAGUGUGUAACACCGAAUGUACCAGCUUAAUGCCACGCCACAAACCUACCCAAUGCCCAACAGGGGGGACCAGUCAAUGCUGCUCAUCAGCCAUCAACCCCGGAUGCUGGAGAAGGCAGACCAUGUUGUGGUGCUGGAGCAUGACACCAUGGCUGAGAUGGGGACACCCACCAAACUGAGGACCCGCGGUGGACCCUAUACAGCCGGGCUGCUGCUAGCACUGAGGACCACAGGCAGCUGGGUGGGAUUUUGCGAUGGGGCAUGGGAAGCUGUGGCUGUCUCCGGCUCCCGCUCGGAUGGAAGAGUUGGGAUGCUCUGGGAUUUGUUAUGGAAUAAUUAGAGUGUUUUUAGAGGAGCAGGUUGGGAUGUGGGGGUGUGGGCAAGCUCAGGCCUCAGUGCAUGGUUGGUUAUGGAAGCUGGGUGUCUGCCCUCAGAAUGUGGCUGUGGCAGCACUGUGGGUUAUGGGGGGGAAGCACAGCUCAGCCCAAUACUGGAUGAACUUUCCAGUCAUGUCUUCAUGCCAAAGCGGUGCAGAUAGCACAGGGAGUGCAAAGGGGAGGAGGAGAGCAGCAGUGUGAAAUGGAGCAAUGGGCAAAGAGUGUGGGGUGGGGGGAGGAGGGAUGAGGAGAGGUCCCCUCAUCCACCCCAACCCUGAGCACGGCACAGAGCAGAAUGCAGGCAGGCUGAGCACAGAACAGCCCAACACUUUAUUUCACAAGAAGCAGCACAGGAAAAGCGGUAAACAUGGCCCAUAUGAAGGAGAGGGGAGAUGUGAGAGGUAGAGGGGGAUUGGGGCUGGGUUC